rnacentral:rRNA from 1 species
CCUACGGGAGGCAGCAGUGGGGGAUAUUGCACAAUGGGGGGAACCCUGAUGCAGCGACGCCGCGUGGGUGAAGGAGCGUUUCGGCGCGUAAAGCCCUAUCGGAAGGGAAGAAGGAGGACGGUACCUGACUAAGAAGCCCCGGCUAACUACGUGACAGCAGCAGCGGUAAUAAGUAGGGGGCCAGCGUUAUCCGGAUUUACUGGGUGUAAAGGGGGGGGAGACGGCAGCGCAAGCCAGGAGUGAAAGCCCGGGGCCCAACCCCGGGACUGCUCUUGGAAUUGCGCGGCUGGAGUGCAGGAGGCGCAGGCGGAAUUCCUGGUGUAGCGGUGAAGUGCGUAUAUAUCAGGAGGAACACCGGUGGCGAAGGCGGCCUGCUGGACUGCGACUGACGUUGAGGCCCGAAAGCGUGGGGAGCAAACAGGAUUAGAUACCCCGGUAGUC